rnacentral:tRNA from 1 species
GGCGCGAUAGCAAAGCGGUUAUGCAACGGAUUGCAAAUCCGUCAGCCCGGUUCGACUCCGGGUCGCGCCUCCA